rnacentral:lncRNA from 1 species
GAAGGAGAAAGUCACAAAAAUGACAUUCAUUAAAGGGUAAAAUAUCCAUAAUACCCUUGGUUUAAAAUUAAAUAAGCAAACAAAAAUAAAUAAAAUAAAAAUAAAAAAAAUGAAAAAAAGAAAUUCUUUUUUAUAGUUUCAGAUUAUAUGUUUUCAGAUUCGAAAUUUUUAUAAUUUUUUUUUCAAAUUUUUUUUUAUUUUUUUUCAAAUUUUCUUUUUAUAAUUUAAAAAUAUUUUUUGAAACUGUUUUUAAAAUUUUUAUUUUAGAAUUUAUUUUUUAUAAAAUUUUAAACCCUAAUUCCAAAACCCCACCCCUUAACUCUAAACCCUAAGGUUUGGAUUAAUUAACCCAAGUGGUAUAAGUGUAUAUUACCUCUUUAAUGAAACCUAUUUUUGUGACUUUUAGCCUUGAGUGCUACUUUGGG